GGAGAGGUGUCCGAGCGGUUGAAGGAGCAUGCCUGGAAAGUAUGUAUACGGUAACCCCGUAUCGAGGGUUCGAAUCCCUCCCUCUCCGCCA
rnacentral:tRNA from 1 species